rnacentral:lncRNA from 1 species
UAAUAUGCCGGUAUCAUGACAUUAAUUUUAAAAUUUAAAAUUUUCAAAUUGGGAGUAUUAUUGAUACAAAAUGAAGUAUAAAAUAUAAUUUUACAAAAAAAAAAAAAAAAAAAAAAAGGGGUAAAAUUAGGCAAUUAAUCUUUUCCCUGCUUAAUCAGCAGUGGCAGUAAAGCUUACAGAUAUCUUUUCCCUACAGCAGUUCAUGUUCAUUUCAGAUAAACUCCACGAGGCAAUCUACUGGUAAUUGGGAACCAAACCAUCACCAUCUAAUCUUAGACAGAUGGAUCAAUAAUACGCUCCCCAAUGAAUUAUUGCCGGUCAAGCAUAUAAUGCACUGCACUGAACCCAACUUGCCUUUACUUCACAGAGGCCAGAGCCUGUCCUGCCCUGACCCUGCAUACCCACCAGGCCACCAGUUGGUCCCAUUGAGACAAAUGACAAAUUGCAGCAAUGAUUUUAUAUUGUACAGCAUACAUACAUGGAGUUCUGAUACCUAUCGGUAAAAGUAGUCUCAUCUCUCUUUUUUACCCUCUUUUUCUUAACUACAAUAAUUGAUCCCAAAUCUUUAUACACAAUUUCCACUCGCUGAUCCACUAACCCCUUGGCAAAAGAAAAUAAAUAAAAGAGCAUCCGCCAGCCCAAUACCCAAUGUUGGAUAUCUACCACUACUUACUAUUCUACUAUUAUGAUACUGGAAUAUUUCUUUCGCUGUUCUGGGAAAUUACCUCGCCGAACUUCAGGAAGAGUUGUGCAUCUGAGGUGCUCAUGGAGGGGCAAUUCACCAUGUGUGGAGUCUUGAGAUUUGCAUAAUCAUCCAUGUAGCAAGACACUUUGGCAGAUGGAAGUGGGGGAGGUGGUGCUGGGGUGGUGCAUUGUUUAAUUGGCACCGAUGGCAAAAGGCUACCGAGAACACGUGUCACUUCGUGCAUAGUUGGCCGGUCUGCUGGCUGUCUCUUGGUGCAUAAAAGGGCAAGCUGAAAAACCUUCUUUACAGCACCUAAAUCUUUACAUGUAGCAGUUAUCUCAGGAUCAACAGUUUCCAUAACAGCAUUGUUGGCGGUCUUCGAUAAGAUCUGAUGCAAUUAAAAAGCAGGAAGUUUGAGGCAUCGAUAAAUAUAAGUUGCAUUUCCAAAGCAUGAUAAUGCCAUAAGUUAUAUUUUCAGCUUUAAUAUCUAAAGUAGCCAUUUAUAUCGAAGAAGUCCUAGAUCAAGAAAAGCCAAAAUGAAUGCUGAAAAUCUACGACAGCACCGGCAAUUAAUCUUUUCCCUGCUUAAUCAGCAGUGGCAGUAAAGCUUACAGAUAUCUUUUCCCUACAGCAGUUCAUGUUCAUUUCAGAUAAACUCCACGAGGCAAUCUACUGGUAAUUGGGAACCAAACCAUCACCAUCUAAUCUUAGACAGAUGGAUCAAUAAUACGCUCCCCAAUGAAUUAUUGCCGGUCAAGCAUAUAAUGCACUGCACUGAACCCAACUUGCCUUUACUUCACAGAGGCCAGAGCCUGUCCUGCCCUGACCCUGCAUACCCACCAGGCCACCAGUUGGUCCCAUUGAGACAAAUGACAAAUUGCAGCAAUGAUUUUAUAUUGUACAGCAUACAUACAUGGAGUUCUGAUACCUAUCGGUAAAAGUAGUCUCAUCUCUCUUUUUUACCCUCUUUUUCUUAACUACAAUAAUUGAUCCCAAAUCUUUAUACACAAUUUCCACUCGCUGAUCCACUAACCCCUUGGCAAAAGAAAAUAAAUAAAAGAGCAUCCGCCAGCCCAAUACCCAAUGUUGGAUAUCUACCACUACUUACUAUUCUACUAUUAUGAUACUGGAAUAUUUCUUUCGCUGUUCUGGGAAAUUACCUCGCCGAACUUCAGGAAGAGUUGUGCAUCUGAGGUGCUCAUGGAGGGGCAAUUCACCAUGUGUGGAGUCUUGAGAUUUGCAUAAUCAUCCAUGUAGCAAGACACUUUGGCAGAUGGAAGUGGGGGAGGUGGUGCUGGGGUGGUGCAUUGUUUAAUUGGCACCGAUGGCAAAAGGCUACCGAGAACACGUGUCACUUCGUGCAUAGUUGGCCGGUCUGCUGGCUGUCUCUUGGUGCAUAAAAGGGCAAGCUGAAAAACCUUCUUUACAGCACCUAAAUCUUUACAUGUAGCAGUUAUCUCAGGAUCAACAGUUUCCAUAACAGCAUUGUUGGC